rnacentral:rRNA from 1 species
CAUUGCCCCGGUUGAAGUUAGGAUGGGGGGUCGAACGAUGAAGCCCAGCUUGCUGGGUGGAAGAGUGGCGAACGGGUGAGUAACACGUGAGUAACCUGCCCUGAACUCUGGGAUAAGCACUGGAAACGGUGUCUAAUACUGGAUACGACCUAUCACCGCAUGGUGUGUAGGUGGAAAGAUUUAUCGGUUCUGGAUGGACUCGCGGCCUAUCAGCUAGAUGGUGAGGUAAUGGCUCACCAUGGCGACGACGGGUAGCCGGCCUGAGAGGGUGACCGGCCACACUGGGACUGAGACACGGCCCAGACUCCUACGGGAGGCAGCAGUGGGGAAUAUUGCACAAUGGGCGCAAGCCUGAUGCAGCAACGCCGCGUGAGGGAUGACGGCCUUCGGGUUGUAAACCUCUUUUAGUAGGGAAGAAGCGAAAGUGACGGUACCUGCAGAAAAAGCACCGGCUAACUACGUGCCAGCAGCCGCGGUAAUACGUAGGGUGCAAGCGUUGUCCGGAAUUAUUGGGCGUAAAGAGCUCGUAGGCGGCUUGUCGCGUCUGCUGUGAAAUCCCGGGGCUCAACCCCGGGCCUGCAGUGGGUACGGGCAAGCUAGAGUGCGGUAGGGGAGAUUGGAAUUCCUGGUGUAGCGGUGGAAUGCGCAGAUAUCAGGAGGAACACCGAUGGCGAAGGCAGAUCUCUGGGCCGCUACUGACGCUGAGGAGCGAAAGCAUGGGGAGCGAACAGGAUUAGAUACCCUGGUAGUCCAUGCCGUAAACGUUGGGAACUAGAUGUAGGGCCUGUUCCACGGGUUCGUGUCGUAGCUAACGCAUUAAGUUCCCCGCCUGGGGAGUACGGCCGCAAGGCUAAAACUCAAAGGAAUUGACGGGGGCCGCACAAGCGGCGGACAUGCGGAUUAAUUCGAUGCAACGCGAAGCUACAGCUUGGACUAUUAC